UUCGUCUUCACUAAUCUUUCAUCUCCUCUAUUUUUUUUUAUCAUUAUAAUAUUUUUAAAAUUGUUUUAUGCUAUUAUUUUAUGUUUCUUAUUAUACUUUUAUCUAAUCUAAUUUUUACAUAUUAAAUAGGAAAUUAUUGUCCAAAUAUGAUGAAUUAUGUUGUUAUUUGAUAAUAUAUGAAUGAUUAAAUACAAAGUUAGAGAUACAUGGUAUAAAUUGUUUGUAUUAGUAUUUCACCAUUCUUAAGAUU
rnacentral:lncRNA from 1 species